AGCCAUGCGUUGAGCACAAAGCGAACUAUUCUUUCGCCUUUUACUAAAGAAUACCGUGUGUUCGUCGCUUUAAAUGGCAUACGCUUAAUUUUUGAAGGGGCUUCCUUUUGUGGGUGCC